rnacentral:snoRNA from 2 species
GUGAUGAUCUCUUCGCUGCGAGGAUAGAUGACCAUUCCGGCGGAGCUGA